GACGAACGCUGGCGGCGUGCUUAACACAUGCAAGUCGAGCGACGCUCCUCCUUCGGGAGGAUGACGGAGCGGCGAACGGGUGAGUAACACGUGGGCAACCUGCCCCUAGCUCUGGGAUAAGCCCGGGAAACCGGGUCUAAUACCGGAUAUGAGAUCGGAAGGCAUCUUCGGAUCUGGAAAGUUUUUCGGCGUAGGAGUGGCCCGGCCGGCCUAUCAGCUUGUUGGUGAGGUAAC
rnacentral:rRNA from 1 species